rnacentral:lncRNA from 1 species
ACUAUGAGUCAGAAAUCCUCAAGUUAAAUCUGCCAGAGUUCUUUGGUUAUUAAAUUUCAUGUUUUGGAGAAUAAGAUAUGUGUCACCUAUUCAUGGUAAUGAGGAGAGAAGAAGAAGGAAUUUCCACAGAGACUUCAUGUGUGCUCAAACAGCAGACUCUAUCUUGGUGCCAGGUCCUGGCAGCAGAAUGCUUUAUAGAAGAGAAGAACAGCUGCAACUGGCCCAUCUCAGGAUUAAAAAAAAAAAAACAGCAAAUGUGAAAAGACACAGUUUGAGAAAAGACCUUUACCAGGACUGCAGGAGACACAGUGUGCUAGGCUGUUCAUCAGACAUGGAUUUGACUAUGAAAUGAAUCUUCUCCAAACUGUGUAGUGAGCUGAUGUUUAAGGCCAUGGAUUCCCUGCAAGGGCUUUGUUCCAGCCUGAACUGGAACAAAGGGAAUUUGUUCAUUAGAAGUUAUCAGGGUAAAUACUUACUCUGUCAAGAUUCCUAUAGCAUCCAGAGGA